GACGAACGCUGGCGGCGUGCCUAAUACAUGCAAGUCGAGCGGACCAAAGGGAGCUUGCUCCUGGAGGUUAGCGGCGAACGGGUGAGUAACACGUGGGCAACCUGCCUGUAAGACUGGGAUAACAUCGAGAAAUCGGUGCUAAUACCGGAUAAUAAAAAGAACUGCAUGGUUCUUUUUUGAAAGAUGGUUUCGGCUAUCACUUACAGAUGGGCCCGCGGCGCAUUAGCUAGUUGGUGAGGUAACGGCUCACCAAGGCGACGAUGCGUAGCCGACCUGAGAGGGUGAUCGGCCACACUGGGACUGAGACACGGCCCAGACUCCUACGGGAGGCAGCAGUAGGGAAUCUUCCGCAAUGGACGAAAGUCUGACGGAGCAACGCCGCGUGAGUGAUGAAGGUUUUCGGAUCGUAAAACUCUGUUGUUAGGGAAGAACAAGUGCCGUUCGAAAGGGCGGCGACCUUGACGGUACCUAACGAGAAAGCCACGGCUAACUACGUGCCAGCAGCCGCGGUAAAG
rnacentral:rRNA from 1 species